rnacentral:piRNA from 1 species
UAUCAGGAGUGAUGUACACACCUAGUGCCC